rnacentral:rRNA from 1 species
UACGGAGGAGGCAAGCGUUAUCCGGAAUUAUUGGGCGUAAAGCGUCCGCAGGUGGCAAUGUAAGUCUGCUGUUAAAGAGUGAGGCUCAACCUCAUAAGAGCAGUGGAAACUACAUAGCUAGAGUGCGUUCGGGGCAAAGGGAAUUCCUGGUGUAGCGGUGAAAUGCGUAGAGAUCAGGAAGAACACCGAUGGCGAAAGCGCUUUGCUAGGCCGCAACUGACACUGAGGGACGAAAGCUAGGGGAGCGAAUGGG